GCGGUGAAAUCGCCGAUUUGGGUGGAGUCGCUGGUAUGAUUAGGGCACGACCUCUCUCUCAGUCUCGACUCUGAAUAGCUGAACGGAUCUGAAUAGGUAGAGCCAGCAGUUAAAAAUUCAAACGGUCAGGUUUGUAUUAUACGUCGUCGUUUUAAAGCAUACUGCUGACAGCCAAUGCAAUUACAAAGACAGCCCAUCGGCCAUCUCUGCUUCCUUACUAGCUCGAUAACUCUUCAGUCUCUCUAAAGUAUAAACCAAUCCGGUGACGCUUCUCCCAAGAAGCACGAUCCGCGAGAGAACUCUCCGACAGCAUUGAUAUCUCCGCUUCCAUUUGAGCUGUUCAUAGAAACCUUUGAAUACCCGUGGCGGCGGUGGUGGCUUUUUUCUUUUCAACGGCCAGCAAGGGGGUUUAACUAGGGUUUUACCAAAGAUGGCGUUUCGUUUGGCCUUACAUCGCUCGCGGACGA
rnacentral:lncRNA from 1 species